rnacentral:rRNA from 1 species
CAGUCGAGCGGAACGAGUUAUCUGAACCUUCGGGGAACGAUAACGGCGUCGAGCGGCGGACGGGUGAGUAAUGCCUAGGAAAUUGCCCUGAUGUGGGGGAUAACCAUUGGAAACGAUGGCUAAUACCGCAUAAUGCCUACGGGCCAAAGAGGGGGACCUUCGGGCCUCUCGCGUCAGGAUAUGCCUAGGUGGGAUUAGCUAGUUGGUGAGGUAAGGGCUCACCAAGGCGACGAUCCCUAGCUGGUCUGAGAGGAUGAUCAGCCACACUGGAACUGAGACACGGUCCAGACUCCUACGGGAGGCAGCAGUGGGGAAUAUUGCACAAUGGGCGCAAGCCUGAUGCAGCCAUGCCGCGUGUGUGAAGAAGGCCUUCGGGUUGUAAAGCACUUUCAGUCGUGAGGAAGGUAGUGUAGUUAAUAGCUGCAUUAUUUGACGUUAGCGACAGAAGAAGCACCGGCUAACUCCGUGCCAGCC